CCAGGUAGCCGGGAAACAACACAGCAGGAGCAGCCCUGUCAACACCGUCUACUACCUGCUGCGUAGUUACAUGCUACCUUAAACGACACACAACUUCAGGGUUGCGGAAACUUAUUUAAAUAGCAGUGAAAAUCCCUGGAACUACACUCCAUACCAGAUGGUGGCAGUAAUGCGCACCUCAACGCCUUUGCUAACCGCCAAUAUAGGAAGAAGACGAACUAACGUCUAAUGCGUAUGUUCAAAAUGCCCGGAUGCAAAGAAGCGGGACGUUGAUUUUCUUUUUUUUUUUUUGCCGUCUGCGUUAUCCUCAACUUUGCGGUAACACCCCAAAAGACAAACCCUUUGUCUGAACCUCCCCUUUAAUACAUGCAUGACACCAUACAUACCAGGCGAGCAUGCAUCUUGCAAUCCUUGUGCACCUACCUAAAUGAAGACUGCAAGAAAUUAAUAAAGGAAUACUUGAAUACAGACAGCGAGGCAAACAGCUGUAUGGAGCAAACUGUGAUGGUGGUGUAUGUCAUCAGAAAGGAAGGUGCUGAAUCUGAAGAUGACCCAGAGGGCAUUGGUGUCCUAAUUAAGGGUGCAGAGGCUCCCUCUGGUUUGGGUAACAUUGCACUGGUGUUUGGACUCAUUUACUGUUUGAACCUGAGCUACCCACCAGAACUGAAAUGCACUUUUGAGGCCUUCCAGAAGAUACUUAUAAAUCUUGAUGGACAAAGACUCUCUUUAAAGGCACAGUUUCUGAAAAACAAACUUAUGGGGUGAGUGCACUUGAAAAUAACUGAUACAGACUAUUCAUUGGUGCAGUGGUGAUUUGCAUUGCAAAAAUCCAUUUUCACCUUUCUUUUGUCUUCAUUUUUUAAUUUACAAAAAUACAUUUACUAAACAAUUCUUUUUUUUUUUGUUUGUUCUGUUUGUCAUUUGACCUUGUAUACAACACUGCAGAUGGGAUUUUUAUGUUUUUAUUGUCUUGGGUUGAAUGGAUCAGUAGUAAUCAGAAUCAGCUUUAUUGCCAAGUUUGUACAUACAAACAAGUAAUUUGACUCCGGUACACUUUGCUCUUUGGUUCCCAAGACUUGGGUUCUUCUCUUAUUUUGUUGUUACUCGUUGUUAGAACUAAUUCACACACACAGCAUAAUGCUUUGUCAUGAGUUAGAUGAACAUAAUGUAACUGAUCUACUUGGAGUCUCCCCAUCUUUUUCUUCCUGCUGCAUUUUUUUAUUUUUUAUUUUGUCUGGUUGUUUUAAAAGCAAAGCGAUGUUGCUAUCAGUGGAGGACCAAAACCAAAAGGAAAAAUAAAUACAGAAAUAAAAAAUUGGUUAAAUACUUUAAUUGACAAUUGGCUAUACAAAAAUAUUUUUCAUUAAUUAUUUUAUAAAAUGUGACAAACUUUCUUUGUAAUUUUUAACGGUUCUUUAAUUUGAUAUUAAGCCCCGUUUUCCAUGUAAUUUCAAUUGUCCUUUUUAAUUCUUUUUUUUUCUACAGAUUUUCCUUCUUAAAUUUUCCUUUGUGUGAUCCCUCAAAUAUUUGUCAGUAUUUCUUACAUUUUCUUUGUUUGACAAUAGUAACAUCGAUUUGUCUCAUUUUAUAACUUAAUACAUACAACUAUUUUUGAUGUUAUAUAAAUAAAACUGAAUUGAAUUGAAAAUGACUGAAUGUUGUAAUGCAUGGUAAAUUUUGACAAAUAAGCCCUUAUGACU